UCAGCAAGGCAAAAAGGCUUUGAGCAGUCCCACAAUUGCCUUAGUCUCAUUUAUUUGUGGUAGUAUUAAGGUUUAUUUGUUUUCUGGUUUGCACUUCUUCUGAAAUUAUUUCUCUUAGUUUAUUCAUUUAACAAAAUGUUCCUUCCUAUGCCACAGAAGAAAGUGCCUAUAAGGCCUACAUAGGUUCUUCAGUCUGCAAACCUCCCUUUGAGAACAUUUCUUUCAACUCACAUUGCUGGAGCUCCUAAAUAUCUUUCAAGUGUCAUGAUUGAUAAAGGCCAGACUCCAGAUUCCUGAGACUGAGGCAGAAGAUUGUCUGCAAGAAAAUCCACCUAUAAUUGGUAGAGGAACAUCAUUGAUAAAUGGCCUGGCUCAUGUCCUAUGAUGAUGUCAAUAAUGAUAACAAUUCCAGUCCAGGUCUGAAAAAUGCUGUGUACUUUUGCUGAUGUGUGAACAGACUCGCUGAAUGAAGGAUGAGGCCAAAAGACUGUGGACCCUUGCAUCCCUCACAGCAAACAAAAGGUCUGGAAGAUAUCCACACAUGGACUUCACCAGAAGUCAAGCAGCUGUGCAAGGAUGGACACCUACCAGAAGAGCAAUUCACCAGAAGAGUGCUUUUAGUCUUUUGGUUGCUUCAAGAUACCUGCAUUCUUUGUUCAAAGCUUCCCAAAAAAUGGAGGCUUUUGUUACUGAUUUGUUCUCCUCUACAUGUACUACCUAAUAUCUUAUGGUUUGAAUACACAGCAAAAACUUCCUUUCGUUUUAUUAUCCAUUAGAGGCAGGGACAAAAUCUGAUGUGCAUUUAGGAACAAAGUGCAAAAGUGUUUAAUCCAAAAUACCUUACAAGCUUUCUGUCAGUAGACUUUUUCCAGUCACCUUUGACCUGAUCCUGCACCUAUUGGAAGAGGGACAAAGUAAUACUAAACCCUAACACCUAAUUUUCACAGUCUGUCUCAUGAACUGGUGUUAAGAUAAUAAAAGGUAGAUAAGAAAAGAUCAUAGAGAGUUUAUCUUGUCCAUUGUAAUGUUGCAGUACAGGAUCAGCUCUGUUCAUGUCACUCUUCAUAGCUUUUUCUCUAACAUGCUCUGAAAUGAGAAAUAAUCCUUAAUUGAUGCACACAGGCUAUCCCAGUGCUUCAAAAUCCCUUACUAUUAAA